GGUUUCUCUGUGUAGCCUCGGCUGUCCUGGAACUCACUCUGUAGACCAGGCUGGCCUCGAACUCAGAAAUCCACCUGCCUCGGCCUCCCAAAGUGCUGGGAUUAAAGGCGUGCACCACCACUGCCCG
rnacentral:miRNA from 1 species